AUCCAGAUGACGAGUCCCUAACAGAACGAAAUGUGCAUGCUGGAU
rnacentral:hammerhead_ribozyme from 1 species